UACAGGGGGGGCAAGCGUUGUUCGGAAUUACUGGGCGUAAAGGGCCAGUAGGCGGCCAACUAAGUCCGACGUGAAAUCCCCAGGCUUAACCGGGGAACUGCGUCUGAUACUGGAUGGCUUGAGUUCGGGAGAGGGAUGCGGAAUUCCAGGUGUAGCGGUGAAAUGCGUAGAUAUCUGGAGGAACACCGGUGGCGAAGGCGGCAUCCUGGACCGACACUGACGCUGAGGAGCGAAAGCCAGGGAGCAAACGGG
rnacentral:rRNA from 1 species